UCGAUAUAAUUUGAUGAUUUUUAUUUUACUAUAGGGAUAGAGUAGGGAAAAUUUAGAUAUUAAAAAUAAUUAGUUGUUAUUGUACAUAUUGUGGAUAAAAUAUUUUUGGUUAUAGUUGAGUUUUAUUGUGAAAGGUAAUUAUUAAUUCUUGUAAAAGUUGAUUUUUGUUUUGUGCCUUGUGUAUCAGGAUAUAUUUAAUUAAGUUAUUUAUUUUCUUUUCUCGAAUUUAAAAGAGCUAAUUUUUUAUUAUGUUUAUUGUUGUAUAAAUGUCGUUAAUAUUUAUUGGUAGUGAAAUGUUAAUCGUUUUUAAAGAUAUCUAGUUACUUAAGAAAUGAAUUUAAUUUGGCUUUAUUUUUUUAUUUAUAUAAUUAUAAAUAUUGAUUUUAAUUAUGAAGUAAGUUUGUAAGGGAUUAUCUUUAUGAGUUGUUUGUUAUAAUUUAUUGUUUUGUUAGAAUUAUUUUGGUUUAGAAGUGAUUAUAAUUUAAGGUGUUUUAAAACUUUGUUUGUAAAGUUGUUUUAUUUAUAAGUUUAUUUAACUUUUAUAUUAAGUUGAUUUUUUUAAUUUUUAUUGAGGUGUAUUUAUUAUAUAAUUAGUAUAAUGUAUUUUUAGUUAAUAUUUAUUGUUGUUAGGCUAUAUUAAGGAAUUAGGCAAAAGAUGUAAUGUGUCCGUUUGUUUAACAAAAACAUUUCUUCUAUGUUUUUAAUUGGAAGUAUGACCUGCCCACUGAUAAUUUGAAUGGCCGCGGUAUUUUGACCGUGCAAAGGUAGCAUAAUCAUUAGUCUAUUAAUUGUAGGCUGGAAUGAAUGGUUGGACGAGGCUCAAACUGUCUUGAUUUUGUUGAAUUAUAAUUUAAUUUUUAGAUAAAAAGGUCUAGAUGUUUUCAUGGGACGAGAAGACCCUAUAGAGUUUAAUAUAAUAGCAUGUUUAUUUAAGUAGGAUAAUUUUUGUUUGGUAAAUAUUAAUUGUAUUUUGUUGGGGUGAUAGCGAGGAUAUGAAUAACUCUUGUUUUUUGUUACUUUAAUGAUUAUGAAUUUUAAAGAUCCAUUAUUAGUGAUUAUAAGACUAAAUUACCUUAGGGAUAACAGCGUAAUCUUUUCGGAGAGUUCAAAUCGAUGAAGGGGGUUGCGACCUCGAUGUUGGAUUAAGAUAAAUUAUAGGUGAAGAAGUUUAUAUAAUUAGGUCUGUUCGACCUUUAAAAUCUUACAUGAUCUGAGUUCAAACCGGCGUGAGCCAGGUUGGUUUCUAUCUAUGAAAUGAGUAAACAUUUUAGUACGAAAGGACCAAGUGUUUAAAAUAAUUUUUUGUGAUUGAUUAUUAUUAAUUAUUACUUUGGCAGAUAAGUGCAUUGAAUUUAGAAUUCAUAGAUGUAGAUAU
rnacentral:rRNA from 1 species